UUUUAAUCACUACCAUACUACCAGUCUAGUAGAUUAAAGAAACAGGAUGUGGGAUCAUUUAUACUAUCUUGACAAGAAAUUAUAAAAUAUGUCACUGCCAAGGCUAUAGAUUAGUUAUGUAGAGCACCUUGUGUUCAUGCAAUGUGUGCCCUUUUUUAAUUAAAUUUCCAGUUUCAAAUAUGUAUAUGUAGUUCUACCCUAGUAACUAUCUCUAGAUGGUAUUGCCACAACACUUAUAGUAUUUAUUUUUGAAGACAUUUUGCCAUGGUUUGUUUUGAGCAUCACCAUUAGGCAAAAGGAUUUGUGCGUUUGAUUUUCCUUUUCUCUUGCAUCUUCCAAAUGCAAACAAGUGUAUGUAAUUAAUCUCCAUAUCUCUUUUGCCCCAUUCUUUUGUGGAUCGAUUUUUG
rnacentral:misc_RNA from 1 species